rnacentral:rRNA from 1 species
AACGAACGCUGGCGGCACGUUUUAAGCAUGCAAGUCGAAUGGCAGCAGGGGCAACUCUGUGAGAAUGGCGAACGGGUGAGUAACACGUAGGUGAUCUGCCUUGAGGAUGGGGAUAGCCUGUGGAAACACAGGGUAAUACCGAAUGAGCUGACGAGACUUUGGUUUUGUUAGUAAAGGUGCUACGGCACCGCCUUGAGAGGAGCCUGCGGCUGAUUAGCUAGUUGGUGGGGUAAGAGCUUACCAAGGCGACGAUCAGUAGCCGGCCUGAGAGGGUGUACGGCCACACUGGAACUGAGACACGGUCCAGACUCCUACGGGAGGCAGCAGCUAGGAAUCUUCCGCAAUGGGCGAAAGCCUGACGGAGCGAUGCCGCGUGAUCGAUGAAGGUCGAGAGAUUGUAAAGAUCUUUUCUACAUGAGGAAUAAGUCUGGGAGGGAAUGCCCGGAUGAUGACGUUAGUGUAGGAAUAAGCCCCGGCUAAUUACGUGCCAGCAGCCGCAGUAA